UACGUAGGCAGCAAGCGUUGUUCGGAGUUACUGGGCGUAAAGCGCGCGUAGGCGGUGAUCUUUGUCAGAGGUGAAAGCCUGGGGCUCAACUCCAGAAUUGCCUUUGAAACGGGAUUGCUUGAGUCCGAGAGAGGAUGGCGGAAUUCCUAGUGUAGAGGUGAAAUUCGUAGAUAUUAGGAAGAACACCGGUGGCGAAGGCGGCCAUCUGGCUCGGUACUGACGCUCAGGCGCGAAAGCGUGGGGAGCAAACAGG
rnacentral:rRNA from 1 species